AUGGAGUUUCACUCGUUACCCAGGCUGGAGUGCAAUGGCAUAAUAUCGGCUCACCGCAACCUCCGCCUCCUGGGUUCAGGCAAUUCUCCUGCUUCAGCCUCUCCUGCCUCACUCAGUCCAUUUUUAAGGCAUACAGUUCUGAAGAGAACAUUUAAUGUAACUCUGCCAAAUUCUUUCUUGAUUGAUAAAGAAACCACUCCUACUCAAGAACAAAAAUCCAAACAAAAACUCCGAGGUGGCAAAAUGACGUGCCUUUCACCUCCUGCCAUGGCUCUGAGGCUUCCCCCGUCCUGUGGAACUGUAAGUCCAGUUAAACCUCUUUUUUUCCCCAGGUCUCGGGCAUGUCUUUAUCAGCAGUGUGAAAACAGACUAAUACAGUAAACUGGUACCAGUAGAGUAGGACAUUGCUGUAAAGAUACCUGAAAAUGUGGGAGCAACUUUGGAACUGGGUAACAGGCAGAGGUUGGAACAAUUUGGAGUGCUCAGAACAAGACAGAAAAAUGUUUAUCUGAUAAUAAAUGUAGGUUUGGAACUUUCUAGAGACGUAUC
rnacentral:lncRNA from 13 species